rnacentral:pre_miRNA from 1 species
AUCACCUGGGGAUCUUGUUAAAAUGCAGGUUCUGAUUCAGUAGGCCCCAAGGUGGCCAGGAUUCUGCAUUUUUAACAAGCUUCCAGAUGUUGGUUC